UAACUUGAUCUUGUCAAGUUCCUCUGUCUUGCUCUUAGAGAAGUCUGAUGUACUUUCCACUCAUAUUUUGACACUUUCAGCAUGCAAACCUGUCAUAUAAACAUUGUAUAUACAUAUAUGCAUACAUAAACAUAUAUACGUCACCAUAUUCAGAGCUUUACAUUGCUUACCUUGUUUUUAGAAAUAUAAAAAUACUAGUAAAAUCAUUCUUCUACAUUUUUCAAAAUUAAGCAGAUUGUUUCCGGGUUACAUCUGUGUUCUGUUCAUGUUAAAUUUUGUGCACCAUUAUAACACACGCAUUCAACUUUUUCUAUUGAGAGAUAUGAACUUGAUUUCUGUCUCUUUUACUCCCCCUUUGCUACUAUAAACAAUCUUUCGAUGAUGUCACAGGGGAAACUUCUUGUGAGCAUGUGUGUGCUUCUAUACUAAACUGGGUGGGAAGGAACGUCUGUGUAGCAGGCGUAUGCAGCUUCAACAUUAUUCUUCGUUGCCAAAGUUCUUUCCAAAAACGGUUAAACCCGUUUGUACUCCCACUGGCAGAGUAUGAUUUCCCAUUCCCCCACAUCCUUGCUAACACUUCUAUCAUCAGACAUUUUUAAAAUUUGCCAAUCUGACGAGUGUGAAGUGAUAUUUCAUUUUUGUUUUAAUUUGCAUUUUUCUGCUUAGUAAUGAGGCUGAACAUCUUUCUAUCUAAUUCUUGGUCAUUCACAUUCCCUAUUUUGAAAAUGUCUUUAUCGUAACCAGCUAACUCCCUGUGAUAACUUUGCUUGCUCCAGUCUCUGAAAGCUGCAGUGCCUGGUCACGCUGAUGGAGAUGGGUUCAGUGCUGGAUCUCUGUCCUUGGCUUUAGA
rnacentral:lncRNA from 1 species